UGUUAGCCAAGGCUACUGUAGAGAAGAGUCACAGGAUCCUCACCUGGAAGUCCAGUCUUUACUCCCUCCAUCACUCCCCUCCCAACUAGUAGCAAAUGAUUUUGGGAGGCUGUAGACUAUAUAGGAAGUGGCAGGUUCACUGACGGUGUGAUUCUAUGAUUCAGCUUCCAUGAGCCCUCAACUGUGUUGGGCUGGAACUUUGUGAAGAUGCAUCUGUUUUGGUAUCAUCCACAUUCCUCCUCACAGAUACUUUCUCGAGAUGCCACAAGAUACAAUAUAUCCUGUUGUGUCGUAUUUAUAUUGGAAGAGGAUUCAUAAAUCUGUUGACUGGGAUUACUUCUGAAGAAUCGACAAACCUUUUCCAAGACUGAGAAAGAACUACUCUGAGAAAGAACUACUCUUCUUGUCUGCCUUUCAGAUUCAGUUGACAUGAUCCCCAAGUCUGUGGAUUAAAGCCACCGAACAUCAUUUUCUAUAUACUGUCAAGGGUUUUUUGAGAGCUGGAAAGAUGGAUUACUGGAUAAAAGCCCGUGGCCAUGCAAACCUGAUGACCUGAGUUAGACCCCUGGACUCUACAUAAAGGGGCAGCGCCACAAGCUGUCCUCUGCUCUUCAUACGUUUGCUAUGGUAUGUGUGCACACAAACAAUACAGAUGAAAAGCGCAAUAAAACAUUUUUACAUGUAAAA